GAAGAAUUAGUUAAAAAAUAACAUUAGCAUGUCAAGCUGAAAUAAUCCAACCAAAGAUAUUCUUCU
rnacentral:tRNA from 1 species